rnacentral:lncRNA from 1 species
ACCAAACCCUAGUUAUCUCUCAUCCGCACAAGUAUCUUAUCUUUAUAGCUUUUAAAGAUUGACAAAAGCUUUCUUCAGAUUCACAAUCUCAUCACACACACACAACCCUUCAAAAAAAGAAAGAAAGAACAGACAAAAGAUCUAAAGAAUAAACAAGAACCCUACUACAAUCAAAUCAAAACCAAACCAAGAAGCAAAAGUUUCCUCUUUAUAUUCUCUUCUCCUCUUCUUGUUCUU